rnacentral:rRNA from 1 species
UAAAGGAAUGCUAAUACCGCAUACGUCCUACGGGAGAAAGCAGGGGAUCUUCGGACCUUGCGCUAAUAGAUGAGCCUAAGUCGGAUUAGCUAGUUGGUGGGGUAAAGGCCUACCAAGGCGACGAUCUGUAGCGGGUCUGAGAGGAUGAUCCGCCACACUGGGACUGAGACACGGCCCAGACUCCUACGGGAGGCAGCA